rnacentral:rRNA from 1 species
CCUGGCUCAGAGUGAACGCUGGCGGUAGGCCUAACACAUGCAAGUCGAACGGCAGCACAGGAGAGCUUGCUCUCUGGGUGGCGAGUGGCGGACGGGUGAGGAAUACAUCGGAAUCUACGGUUUCGUGGGGGAUAACGUAGGGAAACUUACGCUAAUACCGCAUACGACCUACGGGUGAAAGCCGGGGACCUUCGGGCCUGGCGCGGAUAAAUGAGCCGAUGUCCGAUUAGCUAGUUGGCGGGGUAAGAGCCCUACAAGGCGACGAUCGGUAGCUGGUCUGAGAGGAUGAUCAGCCACACUGGAACUGAGACACGGUCCAGACUCCUACGGGAGGCAGCAGUGGGGAAUAUUGGACAAUGGGCGCAAGCCUGAUCCAGCCAUACCGCGUGGGUGAAGAAGGCCUUCGGGUUGUAAAGCCCUUUUGUUGGGAAAGAAAAGCAGUCGGUUAAUACCCGAUUGUUCUGACGGUACCCAAAGAAUAAGCACCGGCUAACUUCGUGCCAGCAGCCGCGGUAAUACGAAGGGUGCAAGCGUUACUCGGAAUUACUGGGCGUAAAGCGUGCGUAGGUGGUUGUUUAAGUCUGUCGUGAAAGCCCUGGGCUCAACCUGGGAAUUGCGAUGGAAACUGGGCAACUAGAGUGUGGCAGAGGAUAGUGGAAUUCCUGGUGUACCAGUGAAAUGCGUAGAGAUCAGGAGGAACAUCCGUGGCGAAGGCGACUGUCUGGGCCAACACUGACACUGAGGCACGAAAGCGUGGGGAGCAAACAGGAUUAGAUACCCUGGUAGUCCACGCCCUAAACGAUGCGAACUGGAUGUUGGGUGCAAUUUGGCACGCAGUAUCGAAGCUAACGCGUUAAGUUCGCCGCCUGGGGAGUACGGUCGCAAGACUGAAACUCAAAGGAAUUGACGGGGGCCCGCACAAGCGGUGGAGUAUGUGGUUUAAUUCGAUGCAACGCGAAGAACCUUACCUGGCCUUGACAUGUCGAGAACUUUCCAGAGAU